rnacentral:rRNA from 1 species
AGUGAACGCUGGCGGUAGGCCUAACACAUGCAAGUCGAACGGCAGCACAGUAAGAGCUUGCUCUUACGGGUGGCGAGUGGCGGACGGGUGAGGAAUACAUCGGAAUCUACUUUUUCGUGGGGGAUAACGUAGGGAAACUUACGCUAAUACCGCAUACGACCUACGGGUGAAAGCAGGGGAUCUUCGGACCUUGCGCGAUUGAAUGAGCCGAUGUCGGAUUAGCUAGUUGGCGGGGUAAAGGCCCACCAAGGCGACGAUCCGUAGCUGGUCUGAGAGGAUGAUCAGCCACACUGGAACUUAGACACGGUCCAGACUCCUACGGGAGGCAGCAGUGGGGAAUAUUGGACAAUGGGCGCAAGCCUGAUCCAGCCAUACCGCGUGGGUGAAAAAGGCCUUCGGGUUGUAAAGCCCUUUUGUUGGGAAAGAAAAGCAGCAGGUUAAUACCCCGCUGUUCUGACGGUACCCAAAGAAUAAGCACCGGCUAACUUCGUG